GAUGAACGCUGGCGGCGUGCCUAAUACAUGCAAGUCGAGCGAACAGACGAGGAGCUUGCUCCUCUGACGUUAGCGGCGGACGGGUGAGUAACACGUGGAUAACCUACCUAUAAGACUGGGAUAACUUCGGGAAACCGGAGCUAAUACCGGAUAAUAUAUUGAACCGCAUGGUUCAAUAGUGAAAGACGGUUUUGCUGUCACUUAUAGAUGGAUCCGCGCCGCAUUAGCUAGUUGGUAAGGUAACGGCUUACCAAGGCAACGAUGCGUAGCCGACCUGAGAGGGUGAUCGGCCACACUGGAACUGAGGCACGGUCCAGACUCCUACGGGAGGCAGCAGUAGGGAAUCUUCCGCAAUGGGCGAAAGCCUGACGGAGCAACGCCGCGUGAAUGAUGAAGGUCUUCGGAUCGUAAAACUCUGUUAUUAGGGAAGAACAAAUGUGUAAGUAACUAUGCACGUCUUGACGGUACCUAAUCAGAAAGCCACGGCUAACUACGUG
rnacentral:rRNA from 1 species